UCGCGAAAACUUUGCAAUACACGAAAGUGUGACAGGGCUAUCCCGAGUGCCAUCCGCUGAGGAAGGCUUUUACCCAGUCUAGAAAGCUGGGGGAAUAAGGAGAGGGCAAGUCUGGUGUCAGCCGCCGCGGUAAUACCAGCUCUCCGAGUGGUGUGGACGUUUAUUGGGCCUAAAGCAUCCGUAGCUGGCUGAACAAGUCCCCUGUUAAACCCACCGAUUUAAUCGUUGGUCUGCGGGGGAUACUGCUCGGCUAGGGGACGAGAGAGGCAGACGGUAUUCCCGGGGUAGGGGUGAAAUCCUAUAAUCCCGAGAAGACCACCAGUGGCGAAGGCUGUCUGCUAGAACGCGCCCGACGGUGAGGGACGAAAGCUAGGGGCGCGAACCGGAUUAGAUACCCGGGUAGUCCUAGCUGUAAACGAUGCGGACUUGGUGUUGGGGUGGCUUUGAGCUGUCCCAGUGCCGAAGGGAAGC
rnacentral:rRNA from 1 species